UACGUAGGUGGCGAGCGUUGUCCGGAUUUAUUGGGCGUAAAGCGCGCGCAGGUGGUCCGUUAAGUCCUGUGUGAAAUCUCCCGGCUCACCCGGGAGGGGGCGCGGGAUACUGGGGGACUGGAGGCAGGCAGAGGCCGGUGGAAUUCCCGGUGUAGUGGUGAAAUGCGUAGAGAUCGGGAGGAACACCAGUGGCGAAAGCGGCGCGCUGGACCUCUUCUGACGCUGAGGCGCGAAAGCCAGGGGAGCGAACGGG
rnacentral:rRNA from 1 species